AUUGAACGCUGGCGGCAGGCUUAACACAUGCAAGUCGAGCGAGCGGCGGACGGGUGAGUAAUGUAUGGGGAUCUGCCCGAUAGAGGGGGAUAACUACUGGAAACGGUGGCUAAUACCGCAUACUAUCGGAUGAACCCAUAUGGGAUUAGCUAGUAGGUGGGGUAAAGGCUCACCUAGGCGACGAUCUCUAGCUGGUCUGAGAGGAUGAUCAGCCACACUGGGACUGAGACACGGCCCAGACUCCUACGGGAGGCAGCAGUGGGGAAUAUUGCGCAAUGGGGGCAAGCCUGACGCAGCCAUGCCGCGUGAAUGAAGAAGGCCUUCGGGUUGUAAAGUUCUUUCGGUAGGGAGGCGUUAACUACAGAAGAAGCACCGGCUAACUCCGUGCCAGCAGCCGCGGUAAUUC
rnacentral:rRNA from 1 species